UACAGAGGGGGGCAAGCGUUGUUCGGAAUUACUGGGCGUAAAGGGCGCGUAGGCGGCCUUCUAAGUCAGACGUGAAAUCCCCGGGCUCAACCCGGGAACUGCGUCUGAUACUGGAAGGCUUGAAUCCGGGAGAGGGAUGUGGAAUUCCAGGUGUAGCGGUGAAAUGCGUAGAUAUCUGGAGGAACACCGGUGGCGAAGGCGGCAUCCUGGACCGGUAUUGACGCUGAGGCGCGAAAGCCAGGGGAGCAAACGGG
rnacentral:rRNA from 1 species